UACAGAGGGGGCAAGCGUUAUUCGGAAUUAUUGGGCGUAAAGGGCGCGUAGGCGGCCUGGCAAGUGGAAGGUGAAAUCCCUCGGCUUAACCGAGGAACUGCCCUCCAAACUGCUUGGCUUGAGUCCGGGAGAGGUGAGUGGAAUUCCCAGUGUAGCGGUGGAAUGCGCAGAUAUCAGGAGGAACACCGAUGGCGAAGGCAGGUCACUGGGCCGCAACUGACGCUGAGGAGCGAAAGCAUGGGGAGCGAACAGG
rnacentral:rRNA from 1 species